GACGAAGGGGGCUAGCGUUGUUCGGAAUUACUGGGCGUAAAGCGCGUGUAGGCGGUUGCCCAAGUCGGGUGUGAAAGCCUUGAGCUCAACUCAAGAAAUGCACUCGGUACUGGGUGACUAGAGGACCGGAGAGGAUAGUGGAAUUCCCAGUGUAGUGGUGAAAUACGUAGAGAUUGGGAAGAACACCAGUGGCGAAGGCGGCUAUCUGGACAGGUACUGACGGCUGAAGCGCGAAAGCUAGGGGAGCAAACAGG
rnacentral:rRNA from 1 species